rnacentral:rRNA from 1 species
GAUGAACGCUGGCGGCGUGCCUAAUACAUGCAAGUCGAGCGAACAGAUAAGGAGCUUGCUCCUUUGACGUUAGCGGCGGACGGGUGAGUAACACGUGGGUAACCUACCUAUAAGACUGGAAUAACUCCGGGAAACCGGGGCUAAUGCCGGAUAACAUGUUGAACCGCAUGGUUCUACAGUGAAAGGCGGCUUUGCUGUCACUUAUAGAUGGACCCGCGCCGUAUUAGCUAGUUGGUGAGGUAACGGCUCACCAAGGCAACGAUACGUAGCCGACCUGAGAGGGUGAUCGGCCCCACUGGAACUGAGACACGGUCCAGACUCCUACGGGAGGCAGCAGUAGGGAAUCUUCCGCAAUGGGCGAAAGCCUGACGGAGCAACGCCGCGUGAGUGAUGAAGGUCUUCGGAUCGUAAAACUCUGUUAUUAGGGAAGAACAAAUGCGUAAGUAACUGUGCGCGUCUUGACGGUACCUAAUCAGAAAGCCACGGCUAACUACGUG